rnacentral:rRNA from 1 species
CAGAUUGAACGCUGGCGGCAGGCCUAACACAUGCAAGUCGAACGGUAACAGGAAGCAGCUUGCUGCUUCGCUGACGAGUGGCGGACGGGUGAGUAAUGUCUGGGAAACUGCCUGAUGGAGGGGGAUAACUACUGGAAACGGUGGCUAAUACCGCAUAACGUCGCAAGACCAAAGAGGGGGACCUUCGGGCCUCUUGCCAUCAGAUGUGCCCAGAUGGGAUUAGCUUGUUGGUGAGGUAACGGCUCACCAAGGCGACGAUCCCUAGCUGGUCUGAGAGGAUGACCAGC